UACGGAGGGUGCAAGCAUUGAUCGGAAUUACUGGGCGUAAAGGGUGCGUAGGCGGUCGGGUAAGUCUGAUGUGAAAUCUCACAGCUUAACUGUGAAACUGCAUUGGAUACUAUCCGGCUCGAGGAAUGGAGGGGAGACUGGAAUACUUGGUGUAGCAGUGAAAUGCGUAGAUAUCAAGUGGAACACCAGUGGCGAAGGCGAGUCUCUGGACAUUUCCUGACGCUGAGGUACGAAAGCCAGGGGAGCAAACGGG
rnacentral:rRNA from 1 species